GAACACAUGCACUCACUCAUGCCAUCCACUCAUUUGGUCAGCUAUUCCUAAGAGCGCGCUUGGUGCACCUGCAACAGUAAAAACAAAUGUACCCAUGAGUACUCGCUCGGCUUGAUCUAGAAGAGAAUGGAGUGGAUCAAGCACUAACAAGAAAUUAUGAAUGUCACCAAAGUUUCCAAAUGUCAACCAUUGCCAUUGCUACCAAUGCCAACCAUCAUCUAAAUUUGAAAGGGCACAUCAUAGAUUGAUCGAGUAUCAAUAAAGGGAGAUCAAACCUUCUGUAUGAGGCUAAUAUUACAACCUUCUCGAGGUAAUAGUUUAGUCUAAGGGUGGUUUCAUCGUACCUUCAACAAAGACACAAUUAUUGUUGUAUUUAAACUUAUUGCUUAUUUUUAUUUUUGAGAAUAAAUUUCGUCAAUGAUGUCUCUCCCUCAAAGCAAAUCCAUCAAUAAUAUUCUAUCUCUACAACAAAAAUUUACUCUUACCAGAGUAUUUAUUUGGUAUGACAUUUGUUUGCUAUCUGAGAUUUACUCAUACAAACCAUUGUACAUCAUAAGAUUAUUAUCUUGACAAAACAUCCAAAUAAUGUUUAUGACUUUUCUUUAGCGAUUUCACUUGAGCCUCAGUUGCAUUUUCAUUGGAUCCAAUGUGACCAACCCAUGCUCAUGCCAUGGACUUUGUUCUGUAUCCAAGUUUUCUCAGAGAAAAGUAUUAACAAGAAGUGACAUAUUUAUUUCCAUUGACACUUUCAACUGGAUUCUUUGUUAUUUCCCUAAACAAUCUAUCCAUAGCCACUCCUUUUGCCAACACCAUAAUAUCCAUGCAUUAAUAGGAAUGGCAUCCCCAGAAUGUGUAUUGUCAUGAGGUACAUCAUUUCCCCAUGAUGAGUUAUUUGCCUAGACAGUUAGGUAAUAUCCUUGCAAUGAGAUUUCUCCUUAUGCUCUAACUUAAGGCCCAUGGAUUGUGUUCGUAUGAGUCCUUGCCACUAUGCCAUCCAUAGUUUUUGUCAAGAACUAGAUUCAUUUUCAACAAUCCUCAUAAAAAAAACUAAGAUGGUGCUCAAUAGUGCUGUUGGUUAAAUGUGACCAUGGUACCUGGGUAUCAAUCACUAUCAAACUUUAUGGUUAAUUCCCUUAUAAGCAACAUCAUUCGUGUUCUAUCAAUCAACAAUACAUUUGUGACCAAUACAAAACCAAUAUAGCAUAUAUUAUACUAAUAAUAAACAAGAUUUAUUCAUUUACCUAUUUUUUGACCUGUUAUUCAUUUAUCUAUUUUGAUAUAUGUGUGUUUUAAGGACUUGCUUAGGUAAAAUAGUACUCCCUCCGGUAAAAUAUAGGGGCUAUUGCAUAACUAACCCUAUUUUAAGAGCUAACUGUAUAUUUGACCUCUUUUUUUUUCACUCUCCAGAUUUGACCCCGGUUUUCAAAUUUGAAGUAGUCGUCUGACCCUAAUGUUAGGGAACCGUGAGAAAUCAGAAUAAAAAACGAAAAAAAAGAAAUGGACACGUGAAAAGAAAAAAACUACCCCCUCAUCUAACCUUAUCCCCUUCCUUCUUUUCCUAGUAGAGUCUUUCCCCAGCGUGUGGCGGUAGCGGGCAGCAGUGGGAGGCGGUGGCAGUGGGAGGACACGGGUGACGACGGCGCGAGGCGGUGGGCGACGGGCUCGUGUGGCGGCGCCGUGUGUCAGUGGGUGGCAGCUGUGUGAGGCGGCAAGCGUCAGGCGUCGGGCUCGUGCGGCACCAGCGGGAGGCCACAAGCGCUAGGCUCAUGUGGGGAGGCAAGGGAACCAGAGCUCGAUCGGUGUCACGUCAUUUUUGGCCGGUUCCAAGGUAGGCAGGGCAUGCAGUUAGAUGCAGCGCGUGGAGACGAUGAUGGCUGGUGUUCAUAGUCGUCCAUGUACGUACGAGCUGCACAGGGAAGCCUCCUCCUCCUCCCUUUGGUGAGCGAGUUGGAAACCUACGCUGGUCUUCCGCUCCUGUGUGCCUUCGGACAAAGCGGGUGAGGAGAGGACUAGUUAAUGGUGCGGCUAAGCGUGUGUGCGUCUCCUUGCUCUCUUUGGCGGGGAAGCAAACUGUAUGCAAUUUGGCAAUUUUGGGUAGUAUGCUACCAAAAUUUUG
rnacentral:lncRNA from 1 species